CCUACGGGCGGCAGCAGUGAGGAAUAUUGGUCAAUGGGAGGAAGCCUGAACCAGCCAUGCCGCGUGCAGGACGACGGCUCUACGAGUUGUAAACUGCUUUUGAACCGGGGUAAAAUGCCUUACGUGUAGGGUUUUGAAAGUCCGGUACGAAUAAGGAUCGGCUAACUCCGGGCCAGCAGCCGCGGUAUAACGGAGGAUCCGAGCGUUAUCCGGAUUCAUUGGGUUUAAAGGGUGCGUAGGUUGUUUUAUAAGUUAGCGGUGAAAUACCGAUGCUCAACAUCGGGGCUGCAGCUGAUACUGUAGGACUAGAGAUCGGAUGCGGCAGGCGGAAUGUGUCGUGUAGCGGUGAAAUGCAUAGAUAUUACACAGAACACCGAUUGCGAAGGCAGCUUGCUAGGCCGGAUCUGACACUGAUGCACGAAAGCGUGGGGAUCGAACAGGAUUAGAUACCCUUGUAGUC
rnacentral:rRNA from 1 species